AGUGAACGCUCGCGGUAGGCCUAACACAUGCCAGUCGAACGGCAGCACAGUAAGAGCUUGCUCUUACGGGUGGCGAGUGGCGGACGGGUGAGGAAUACAUCGGAAUCUACUUUUUCGUGGGGGAUAACGUAGGGAAACUUACGCUAAUACCGCAUACGACCUACGGGUGAAAGCAGGGGAUCUUCGGACCUUGCGCGAUUGAAUGAGCCGAUGUCGGAUUAGCUAGUUGGCGGGGUAAAGGCCCACCAAGGCGACGAUCCGUAGCUGGUCUGAGAGGAUGAUCAGCCACACUGGAACUGAGACACGGUCCAGACUCCUACGGGAGGCAGCAGUGGGGAAUAUUGGACAAUGGGCGCAAGCCUGAUCCAGCCAUACCGCGUGGGUGAAGAAGGCCUUCGGGUUGUAAAGCCCUUUUGUUGGGAAAGAAAAGCAGCAGGUUAAUACCCCGCUGUUCUGACGGUACCCAAAGAAUAAGCACCGGCUAACUUCGUG
rnacentral:rRNA from 1 species